rfam:Homo sapiens chromosome 1, GRCh38 reference primary assembly.
CUGCUUUGAGGACAAAGAGAAUAAAGACUUCAUGUUC